rnacentral:rRNA from 1 species
UACGUAGGGGGCAAGCGUUGUCCGGAUUUAUUGGGCGUAAAGAGCUUGUAGGCGGUCUGUCGCGCCUGCUGUGAAAAUCCGGGGCUCAACCCCGGACUUGCAGUGGGUACGGGCAGACUAGAGUGUGGUAGGGGAGACUGGAAUUCCUGGUGUAGCGGUGAAAUGCGCAGAUAUCAGGAGGAACACCGAUGGCGAAGGCAGGUCUCUGGGCCACUACUGACGCUGAGACGCGAAAGCGUGGGGAGCAAACAGG